UCCCUGGAGGAUUAGUGGUUAGGCCACAGCGUUCUCACUGCUGUGGCCCGGUUUCGAUUCCCAGCCAGUGAA